UACGAAGGGGGGCUAGCGUUGCUCGGAAUCACUGGGCGUAAAGCGCACGUAGGCGGCUUUCUAAGUCAGGGGUGAAAUCCUGGAGCUCAACUCCAGAACUGCCUUUGAUACUGGAAAGCUUGAGUUCGAGAGAGGUGAGUGGAACUGCGAGUGUAGAGGUGAAAUUCGUAGAUAUUCGCAAGAACACCAGUGGCGAAGGCGGCUCACUGGCUCGAUACUGACGCUGAGGUGCGAAAGUGUGGGGAGCAAACAGG
rnacentral:rRNA from 1 species